AACGAACGCUGGCGGCAUGCCUAACACAUGCAAGUCGAACGAAACCUUCGGGUCUAGUGGCGCACGGGUGCGUAACGCGUGGGAACCUGCCCUUAGGUUCGGAAUAACUCACCGAAAGGGGUGCUAAUACCGGAUAAUGUCUUCGGACCAAAGAUUUAUCGACUUUGGAUGGGCCCGCGUUGGAUUAGCUAGUUGGUAGGGUAAACGCCUACCAAGGCGACGAUCCAUAGCUGGUCUGAGAGGAUGAUCAGCCACACUGGGACUGAGACACGGCCCAGACUCCUACGGGAGGCAGCAGUGGGGAAUAUUGGACAGUGGGCGAAAGCCUGAUCCAGCAAUGCCGCGUGAGUUAUGAAGGCCUUAGGGUUGUAAAGCUCUUUUACCCGGGAUGAUAAUGACAGUACCGGGAGAAUAAGCUCCGGCUAACUCCGUG
rnacentral:rRNA from 1 species